rnacentral:rRNA from 1 species
AAAUUGAAGAGUUUGAUCAUGGCUCAGAUUGAACGCUGGCGGCAGGCCUAACACAUGCAAGUCGAGCGGUAGCACAGAGAGCUUGCUCUCGGGUGACGAGCGGCGGACGGGUGAGUAAUGUCUGGGAAACUGCCUGAUGGAGGGGGAUAACUACUGGAAACGGUAGCUAAUACCGCAUAAUGUCGCAAGACCAAAGUGGGGGACCUUCGGGCCUCAUGCCAUCAGAUGUGCCCAGAUGGGAUUAGCUAGUAGGUGGGGUAAUGGCUCACCUAGGCGACGAUCCCUAGCUGGUCUGAGAGGAUGACCAGCCACACUGGAACUGAGACACGGUCCAGACUCCUACGGGAGGCAGCAGUGGGGAAUAUUGCACAAUGGGCGCAAGCCUGAUGCAGCCAUGCCGCGUGUGUGAAGAAGGCCUUCGGGUUGUAAAGCACUUUCAGCGGGGAGGAAGGCGAUAAGGUUAAUAACCUUGUCGAUUGACGUUACCCGCAGAAGAAGCACCGGCUAACUCCGUGCCAGCAGCCGCGGUAAUACGGAGGGUGCAAGCGUUAAUCGGAAUUACUGGGCGUAAAGCGCACGCAGGCGGUCUGUCAAGUCGGAUGUGAAAUCCCCGGGCUCAACCUGGGAACUGCAUUCGAAACUGGCAGGCUAGAGUCUUGUAGAGGGGGGUAGAAUUCCAGGUGUAGCGGUGAAAUGCGUAGAGAUCUGGAGGAAUACCGGUGGCGAAGGCGGCCCCCUGGACAAAGACUGACGCUCAGGUGCGAAAGCGUGGGGAGCAAACAGGAUUAGAUACCCUGGUAGUCCACGCCGUAAACGAUGUCGAUUUGGAGGUUGUGCCCUUGAGGCGUGGCUUCCGGAGCUAACGCGUUAAAUCGACCGCCUGGGGAGUACGGCCGCAAGGUUAAAACUCAAAUGAAUUGACGGGGGCCCGCACAAGCGGUGGAGCAUGUGGUUUAAUUCGAUGCAACGCGAAGAACCUUACCUGGUCUUGACAUCCACAGAACUUUCCAGAGAUGGAUUGGUGCCUUCGGGAACUGUGAGACAGGUGCUGCAUGGCUGUCGUCAGCUCGUGUUGUGAAAUGUUGGGUUAAGUCCCGCAACGAGCGCAACCCUUAUCCUUUGUUGCCAGCGGUUAGGCCGGGAACUCAAAGGAGACUGCCAGUGAUAAACUGGAGGAAGGUGGGGAUGACGUCAAGUCAUCAUGGCCCUUACGACCAGGGCUACACACGUGCUACAAUGGCAUAUACAAAGAGAAGCGACCUCGCGAGAGCAAGCGGACCUCAUAAAGUAUGUCGUAGUCCGGAUUGGAGUCUGCAACUCGACUCCAUGAAGUCGGAAUCGCUAGUAAUCGUAGAUCAGAAUGCUACGGUGAAUACGUUCCCGGGCCUUGUACACACCGCCCGUCACACCAUGGGAGUGGGUUGCAAAAGAAGUAGGUAGCUUAACCUUCGGGAGGGCGCUUACCACUUUGUGAUUCAUGACUGGGGUGAAGUCGUAACAAGGUAACCGUAGGGGAACCUGCGGUUGGAUCACCUCCUUACCUUAAAGAA